GGCUUGCAGAAAUCUUCAGCUUGUUUAAAGAGGAGGCAGAGCCUGACUACAUAUUACACUUGUCCUGUGAAAAUAUCAAAAGCUACUCAAGAUCCAAUCUCUUUUUCUCCUGCUGGCCACAGUGGAGCUCACCAUGGUGACAGGGGUGGUAGCAUCAGCUAGCCGUUUUCAAGACUCUACCAAUGGAGACAAGGGAUCCCACACAUAUUACAAGUUGCUCUUCUCUACUUAAAUAAAGCUCCAAACAUAAAUGCCUUCAAUGCCUGAGUUACUGCAACAAUUUAGCAAGCUGGAGGUCUUGCUCUACGUGCGGCUCCUUGCAGAAUGUUCAGUGAUGACAUGGACACAAGCUUUCUCUUCAAUGGCACCUGUGGAAUAACCAGGGGCAGAAAAAUCGCCACGGACGUGUCAGGGGCGGAAAAGGGCCGCGGACCACGCGGCAGGGCGGGAAAACGG